CUGGGUUCAAAUACCAUUUAGCACCGGGUCAGCCCCGAUACACAGGGUCCAGACCUGGGUUCAAAUACCAUUUAGUACCGGGUCAGCCCCGAUACACAGGGUCCAGACCUGGGUUCAAAUACCAUUUAGUACCGGGUCAGCCCCGAUACACAGGGUCCAGACCUGGGUUCAAAUACCAUUUAGUACCGGGUCAGCCCCGAUACACAGGGUCCAGACCUGGGUUCAAAUACCAUUUAGGUCCAUUUAGGACAGGGUCCACACAGAAACAGGAUUGAGAAGUAGUCAUUAAACGCAUGUGCAGACACACACACACACACACACACACACACACACACACACACACACACACACACACACACACACACACACACACACACACACACACACACACACACACACACACACACACACACACACACACACACACACAGGACUGAGAUCAGUCUAUAAGGUGAAUGAGUUGGACAGGCCUGAGAUCAGUCUAUAAGGUGAAUGAGUUGGACAGGCCUGAGAUCAGUCUAUAAGGUGAAUGAGUUGGACAGGCCUGAGAUCAGUCUGUAAGGUGAAUGAGUUGGACAGGCCUGAGAUCAGUCUGUAAGGUGAAUGAGUUGGACAGGCCUGAGAUCAGUCUAUAAGGUGAAUGAGUUGGGACAGGCCUGAGAUCAGUCUGUAAGGUGAAUGAGUUGGACAGGCCUGAGAUCAGUCUAUAAGGUGAAUGAGUUGGACAGGCCUGAGAUCAGUCUAUAAGGUGAAUGAGUUGGACAGGCCUGAGAUCAGUCUGUAAGGUGAAUGAGUUGGACAGGCCUGAGAUCAGUCUGUAAGGUGAAUGAGUUGGACAGGCCUGAGAUCAGUCUGUAAGGUGAAUGAGUUGGACAGGCCUGAGAUCAGUCUGUAAGGUGAAUGAGUUGGACAGGCCUGAGAUCAGUCUGUAAGGUGAAUGAGUUGGACAGGCCUGAGAUCAGUCUGUAAGGUGAAUGAGUUGGACAGGCCUGAGAUCAGUCUAUAAGGGGAAUGAGUUGGACACCCCUGAGUUCGCUAUCUAAGGUGAAUGAGUUGGACAGGCCUGAGAUCAGUCUAUAAGGGGAAUUAGUUGGACACCCCUGAGUUCGCUAUCUAAGGUGUCUGA